UCGGCUUCUUCGAUCUUAAAAUCGGAGGUUUUUGAACCUGUCGCGGAGUUAUGAUAUCUUACAUAUGAGAAAGAUUGAGCUUUUUCCGGACUUUCGAGGGAUUUUUGGCUAUUUUUUCUGAAAAAAAUGGAGUGGGUUUGGAUUACCGGUGUUGAAAUUUCAAAUAUCUAGCUUCGACCGAAGCCCUUCCUCAGGAAUUUGGCUGGUUUUAGAUCUUAUCCUGGUUUCGUUCCAGAUGUGGUUGAGGAAUCCUUGUUUUCUUAGCUUAUCCGCUUGAUCGGUGGAUUCAUUCUGUGGAUCUCUGCGUUUACAGGCGUCGCAAUCGCGGAUCUCGAAAGGAUCGGAGUAAGCAUGAAUCGCUGCGCGAUGCAACAGCCGAACGCCUUCGCCGCCUGCGAAGAGAUUAGGGCAACCUUCGCCGUCGCCGAGCGGAGGCCGCCGGUCUUUUGCCCCAAGCCCCAGCGGCUGAGCCCGUUCUCUGCCGUCGCGGAUCCUGUGAGACCUCUUCGGUGGCACUCGAGUUAUCAGAUAGACUUCUCCGAUUCGAAGGCUGGGGCAGAUCUCCUUGACAUAUUUCAAUCGAAGGGCGGAGACCAGAAUCAAGUAGCUUCCUCGCCACCCUUCUUCUGCGGCUCUCCGCCGAGCCGAGCGGCGAACCCGGUCGUCCACGACGCCCGUUUCGGCGACGACCGCCCUCCGGCACCCUUCGGCCCCUCACCUCUAACCCAAUCCAACCCGCCGAUGCCCCCCAACCACGGCUUCGCUCUCGCCAAGUUCGGCUUGGUCCCUGCGGCAAUCCGUGUCGAGGGCUUCGACUGCCUCGACCGCGGCCGCCGGAGGAGCUGCAGCAGCAUCACCGCGGUGGCCUAAACCAAACCCCCGAUCUCCUUUUGGAGCUCUACUCUACCAAAUAACACCAACCAACCAAUCAAUCCCCCUAAAAUUAGCUUCUUAACAUAGCAUCAACACAGAAUCCUAAGAAAUUUUGAAGUCGCCAUGGAUGGAGCUCUGAGAACAGAUGCAAGCAAGUGCCCUCCCAAGAUCUGAUAUUUUAAUAUUGAUGUCGUUGGACUUGGUGAUGAGCUUGGAAUUGGAUUAUGAUCUGCUCCAGCAGAACCUGUCGACCGAUUCUAAGGCAUUGAUGACAGAGUCUGGUGCCCAAUGAAUGAAUGAGUUGUUAUCUGCUGGCGCACCCCCCAAAAAAACCAAGGCCUUCAUCCCAGUUUUAUCUAAAAGCACACUACAAUAAUAUUGUUUUAUUUUUUAUUUAAAAAAGGGGUAAAAAUCCAAAGAAUAUCCAAAAUCUUUGAUUCAGUAUUAUAAUAGCUAUUACGGGUAGAAAUUCUGUUAUUACUUGAGUAGUUAGUAUCAACAGUAAAUUUAAAUUUUGGUAAAUGAUAAAUAGAUUAAAAUUAAAUGUGUGUUGUAAUCUUUUUAUUAAGUGUGCAUGACUAAAAGAUUUAAUAGA